rnacentral:lncRNA from 1 species
AAGCAGCAGAAAUCCAGCUGCAGCACUCCGAUAAUCAUCAUAGUCAUUUUAAAGUUUAAAGUAAGCUCCGUAGCGCACGCCACAGGGAGGGGCGUGGCUUGCGCUAAAGGAGGCGUGGACAGGCGCGGCACAUAGAAACGGCUCGUUCUCGGUAGAGCUCACAAGAGAGUUUUCAGGCUGGCUGAAGUCCAGGAAAAACUAGGUUUUUAGACAACAAACUUCAAAUUGACUGUUCUGGGACCUCUGAGACCUGCUGAAAAGGAGUUUAAUAUGGGACCAUUAAUGAAAAGUACAUCCCUGUGGCUAAUAUAGAUGGAUAAUCAAACAGAGAAUGAAUCUUAGAGCUUAGAGCUCUCUCUGCAGAUAAGGAUGCUAAUCCUGAGGGUAACUGUGCACAUAGGGGUCCCUUUCCUUUAGUUAAAUUACACUUUACAAAAUGAAAACUUCAAAUUAUCCCUCACUAAUUGAUGCAGCUGGUUGAUAUUAAUGUCCAUGAAAAGAGAACACAAAGUGCUAAACAGUGAUUUUAUUGAUCGACUCUGUAAAAAGCUUUAAGCCAAAGUCUCUCCCCUCAGCCUCUGUUUACUGCUCCCAGAGCUGUACCUCCAUCCUGAAAUAUUUAAUGCAUUAAUCUAUCUAUGUAAUGUUCUCAAAUCAAACUGGGGUCAGACACAGAAAAACCUGCUUAUUGGAAACAAAUGAGGGCAAACAGAGUGACGUACUGAGCUGUAUAUGAAACAAGUGGCCAUUAAAAUGGAUUUAUCAGGAUUCCACUGACGAAUAAACUCACACAUCUUACUCACUCACUAAAACACACACACACACACACACACACACACACACACACACACACACACACACACACACACACACACACACACACACACACACACACACACACACACACACACACACACACAAAAGAAAGACACACACAGACCUCCCAGUAUGAGCCUUCUCUGUGUUGUAAGUUAAACCCGGCUGUUCCAAUUCCGACUGUAUCGCUCUCUCCUGCUUUCUCUGCACCCCCCUCAGCCUUCCUCAUGUGGAGUCCCCCCUAGGCUCCACACUUGGUCCUGUUUUAUUCUCUUUGUAUGUGCUUCCUCUGGGGUCAAUUUUGAAAAAAGUACAGAAUAUCUGUACUUCAUCAGAGUUUACAGUGCAGAGUUUUCCUCUGCCAGCCAAACUGACUUUACAAUAAAUCACACUCAAAAAACCUAACAUUGUAACCUGAAAGAUGCAAAUAAUUUCUCAAAGUUGUUUCACAGCAUGUGAGACCGUGAAUCUUAUUCAUAAAUUCCCCUAAAUCACAGUGUGUCAGUGCCAUCUUGCUUCACUGAGAGGAGGAGAGACUCAUUGAUAUUAUAUUUUUAACUCUAGUUUUUAGACAUUUUGGGUUGUGGAGCUGUCCAAACAUUUCACCCUACAAUACACCAUACGAGAUUUCAUCAUUGGUGGAAAUGAAAUAUUCAACUUUUGCUUUGUUUCAAUUAGCGCUCUUAAGUGAUAGAAAUAUAUCACUAUAAUAUCUUAAGCAUUUAUUCUAUCCAAAGAGGCAGAAAAAGCCACAGACACCUUAAAUCCACCCAAAUCACUGGGAAGUUGAUUCAGACCUGUCAAAUUUCAUCAGAGGACCUCUGUGGGGUUGAGAUAUGCCCAGAAUUUUUCAAUAUUUUCAAUAUUGCAGACAUGGUCGACAGGCCAAUGAUCAGAGAUCAGCACGUAAUACAUCAGAAAAGAUUAUUAAUACUUCUAUCACCAUGUCUUGAUUCCUGCUCGUUGGUGUUGUCAGAUCCCUGCUGCUCAUCUCUUACCUGAUGAACAGAAACAGGAGCACAUCUCACCUAUUCUGUCUUUUAUUCACAGGAUCCAGGUGCAUCUUGGGGUUGAUUUUUAAUUUUUACCGAUGAAUUUCAAAACACUUGACACUUUAGUUCUUACUGAAUCUCUCUGACCUUUCAAAACCACAUGGUUAAUCUGGGGCUGCCUCUGAAUGUCCUCAGUUCUGGACUGAAGCCUGUCCCAAACCAAACCUCACUCAGCUCCUGUUGUUUCUGAGCGUGCUUUGUGAAUACAGUUGGACUGCAUUGGGUCUCUCUGGAUCCCAGCACUCUGACACAAGCCUCGGACACUCAGGAACGUCUGAAUGUGCUCUUUGUGUACUCAUUGUGUGUUUGUGUUAGUGACCCGGCAGCAUCACAUCCUCCUGACUUGCCUUGUCACAUGAUCGAGCAGCUCCGUGUCAGGCCGGUCCAUCCUGCAGAUCUGCAUCCGCUCAGCCUAUUCUCUGGCUGCAGACCGGGAGAGCCUCUGCCCCUCAGAGCCGGCAGACUCUCCAGUACUUUUCCACCCUCAUGGACAAGAGGAGAGAGAGAAUGAAGCAGGGGAGGGAGGGGGAGACAAGGAGACUCAAAAAAAAGGCUGAAUACACCAGGGAGGAGGAGGAGGAGGAAGAGGAGGUUGUCUGCACUUGUUCAGUUUGAACAUGCUUGACUGUUUCUUCUCCUUUCUCUUUAUCUUUGUCCCUCCCUUCUUACCUGUGUCCUUCCCUCCUUAACCUUGUCCCUUCCUCCUUACCUUUGUCCCUGUCCUGAAGGUGCAGAAGUCCUUACAUAACUCCCUCAGAGCUGCUGGUUCUGACUCCUUGUUGUCCUUGUUCGGUUAAGGACAUGUAGCAGGGCAAA